rnacentral:rRNA from 1 species
GAUGAACGCUGGCGGCGUGCCUAAUACAUGCAAGUCGAGCGAACGGACGAGAAGCUUGCUUCUCUGAUGUUAGCGGCGGACGGGUGAGUAACACGUGGAUAACCUACCUAUAAGACUUGGAUAACUUCGGGAAACCGGAGCUAAUACCGGAUAAUAUUUUGAACCGCAUGGUUCAAAAGCGAAAGACGGUCUUGCUGUCACUUAUAGAUGGAUCCGCGCUGCAUUAGCUAGUUGGUAAGGUAACGGCUUACCAAGGCAACGAUGCAUAGCCGACCUGAGAGGGUGAUCGGCCACAAUGGAACUGAGACACGGUCCAGAAUCCUAAGGGAGGCAGCAGUAGGGAAUCUUCCGAAAUGGGCGAAAGCCUGAAGGAGCAAAGCCGCGUGAGUGAUGAAGGUCUUCGGAUCGUAAAACUCUGUUAUUAGGGAAGAACAUAUGUGUAAGUAACUGUGCACAGCUUGACGGUAACUAAUCAGAAAGCCACGGCUAACUACGUG